UGUCCCAUUAUCAUCGGUUCUUUCGUGAUAUUUUUUAAUAAUCAAAAGGUGCCUUGGUUUUAGGGCUUUCCUUGUCUGUCACCUCAUUGUUUUUUGAUUAAUUGUUUAGUCUUUUAAUUAUAAAGUGAGGAAUUAUGAGAAGUUUGAGUGAGCAAUCGGCAGUGAUGGUGGUUGAGGAGGGUGAGGAUAGUGUUGAUAAGGAAAAGAAGAAGAAUAUGCACCGAUUUAAUCACCGAUCCAAACAGAACCCUCCCAAUCCAGAAAGGUGAUGUAUUUAAAGUGUUAUUUCUUGUAAAUGCUCACAAUCGACUUGAGGCAUACUGUAAAAUUGAGGGACUUCCUACAGAUCUUCUUAUCAGUGGAAUUGCUGCACAUAAUAGGGCUGUAAGUUUUUUUUGAGUUGACGCGGGUCAACCCAUCUGACCCGUGACCCGAUCACAUGACCGGGUCGGGUUUCAAA